GACGAACGCUGGCGGCGUGCCUAAUACAUGCAAGUCGAGCGAAGUUUUUCUGGUGCUUGCACCGGAAAAACUUAGCGGCGAACGGGUGAGUAACACGUAAAGAACCUGCCUCAUAGACUGGGACAACUAUUGGAAACGAUAGCUAAUACCGGAUAAUAGCAUUAACUGCAUGGUUGAUGUUUAAAAGUUGGUUUUGCUAACACUAUGAGAUGGCUUUGCGGUGCAUUAGCUAGUUGGUGGGGUAAAGGCCUACCAAGGCGACGAUGCAUAGCCGACCUGAGAGGGUGAUCGGCCACACUGGGACUGAGACACGGCCCAGACUCCUACGGGAGGCAGCAGUAGGGAAUCUUCCGCAAUGGGCGAAAGCCUGACGGAGCAACGCCGCGUGAGUGAAGAAGGAUUUCGGUUCGUAAAGCUCUGUUGUUAGGGAAGAAUGAUUGUGUAGUAACUAUACACAGUAGAGACGGUACCGAACCAGAAAGCCACGGCUAACUACGU
rnacentral:rRNA from 1 species